rnacentral:rRNA from 1 species
GAUGAACGCUAGCGGGAGGCUUAACACAUGCAAGUCGUGGGGCAGCAUUAGGUAGCAAUACUUAGAUGGCGACCGGCGCACGGGUGAGUAACGCGUAUGCAACCUACCCAGUACAGGGGGAUAGCCCGGAGAAAUUCGGAUUAAUACCCCAUAAUGAUAUAGAGAGGCAUCUUUUUAUAUUUAAAGCUUCGGCGGUACUGGAUGGGCAUGCGUAAGAUUAGCUAGUUGGUAGGGUAACGGCCUACCAAGGCUCCGAUCUUUAGGGGUCCUGAGAGGGUGAUCCCCCACACUGGUACUGAGACACGGACCAGACUCCUACGGGAGGCAGCAGUGAGGAAUAUUGGUCAAUGGGCGCAAGCCUGAACCAGCCAUCCCGCGUGAAGGAAGAAGGCGCUAUGCGUUGUAAACUUCUUUUCCGGAGGAAUAAAAUCUUGUACGUGUACAGGACUGAAGGUACUCCGGGAAUAAGCAUCGGCUAACUCCGUGCCAGCCGCCGCUGUAACAC